rnacentral:misc_RNA from 1 species
GAUGAAGAACGUAGCGAAAUGCGAUAAGUAAUGUGAAUUGCAGAAUUCAGUGAAUCAUCGAAUCUUUGAACGCACCUUGCGCCCUUUGGCUAUUCCGAAGGGCAUGCCUGUUUGAGUAUCAUGAACACCUCAACUCUCAUGGUUUGCCAUGAUGAGCAUGGACUUUGGGGGUCUUGCCGGCCUAUGGGUCGGCUCCUCUCAAAUUAAUCAGCUUGCCAGUGUUUGGUGGCAUCACAGGUGUGAUAACUAUCUACGCUUGUGGUUUUCCAUCAGGUAACCUUCAGUGAUGGAGGUUCGCUGGGGCUCAUAAAUGUCUCUCCUCAGUGAGGACAGCUUUUUUGAACGUUUGAUCUCAAAUCAGGUAGGACUACCCGCUGAACUUAAGCAUAUCAAUAAGCGGAGGA